CCCCCCCCCCCCCCCCCCCCCAGCACUACACCUGUGACACCUGUGACAACAGCUUCUGGAAACAGAAAUACAGAUCACCAACCCGAGGAUGAUGUUGGGGCGCGGUGACUCAAGACCUGAAAAACAAAACAUUUGUGCAGAGUUCAGAAUUUAACGUCGGCCUUUAUUCUCCAGACGUAAACCCUGUCAAGGGCAGUGAUGGGGCACGUUUCAAUAGGAAGGAGGAAGAAACUCACUGGCAAAACACAAUCGAGUGUUUGAACAGCUUAUUGCAAACAAAAGACCCCGGGGCACACCGUCGCCUCCGCCGUCCAGCCCCCAUGUCACAGCCACAGAACCCAGGGCCCAGUUCAUGAGUCAAGUCAUCCCAAUGAGCGGAGCCUACGUUACAGAUUUAAAGAUCAGACGUAAUUAAAAGCAAUGGCAUGACGGAGGAGGCCGGCGAGGCCAGUGUGCAAACGUCAGCAUCUGCUGACCUGUAAGAAACGAAGCAUGUACGCACCAGAAUUUUUUUUUUUUUUUUAAACAAAAUCUUAGCUUUGUUCUUUUACUUGCCUCUCACUACACAUCAGAAAGGUAACAGCCCUUCCUGGAACUCACGCACUGCGCUACGUAAUUCAAGCUACACGUACGAAUACCGAAGGUUCCACCAGGGAGCAGUUCCACGGCUUGUUUGCAACAAUCCCCUCAGCACGUGCCAUUAGGGAAGGUCACCCAGCUGCUGGCGUCACAGUUACAGUUAAUGGGAAAGACCAAGCUGACUGAAAGGGCUAUGAUAAACACCCUUGUAGGUUUAGAAGGGAAUUCUGUUAACAUCAACAAGGGCCAAGUCCUGCUCAGUCUCUGUGAACACGGGACAGGGUGCUUAAAGACAAGGGCGGGGUGUUCCGUGAAGAGCAGGCUGCAUGGAAAAGUUCCUGGGCACAG